GCGGUAGCGGUGGGGGGCAGGUAGAAGGGCGUCCUUUUGAGAGUGGGACCACAGCUGCUCUUCGCUCUCUUUCAUUCUCUCAUUCCAAAAAUUUCCGUUGAGCAAGUAGCAUCAGUGCGUGUUCAAGGGGAAUUCGGAGUUCACAAGCGACGAUAUAUAGACGCCGCGCAGUUUUAGUGCAAGAUUACAUUCACAGUUUUACUCCGAGCAGAGGAUAUUUUUCAUUUUGCUGUUUUGAAGAUUUCGAGUCAACAAGCAACGCUAUUAUUCGUUUGGAGCGUUCUGUUGCCGAGGAGCGUGGCUUGUCAUGGAAUUUAUUGACGCUUAGCUGCCUCAGUACAAGGUUUCGGUUGGAUUUCAGCAGAAAUUUUUUACUUCUUUAUUAUCCAUUUUCAUCAUGGCUGGGGAUGAAAAUGCUUUGUGCCUGUUGUGUGACAAAGUUUUGAACGAUGGACGUGCAACACGGACGCUAUCCCAGGCUGCUCUGAACAGCUGCGUAGUUGCGAGCGGAAGGAGAAAGGAUUUGAAACACGUGGAGUUGAAAAAGUAUAGAAGGUUGGAGGUUCAC
rnacentral:lncRNA from 1 species